AGCGAACGCUGGCGGCAGGCUUAACACAUGCAAGUCGAGCGGGCAUCUUCGGGUGUCAGCGGCGGACGGGUGAGUAACGCGUGGGAACGUGCCUUCUGGUUCGGAAUAACUCAGGGAAACUUGAGCUAAUACCGGAUACGCCCUUUUGGGGAAAGGUUUACUGCCGGAAGAUCGGCCCGCGUCUGAUUAGCUAGUUGGUGGGGUAACGGCCUACCAAGGCGACGAUCAGUAGCUGGGCUGAGAGGAUGAUCAGCCACACUGGGACUGAGACACGGCCCAGACUCCUACGGGAGGCAGCCGUGGGGAAUAGUGGACAAUGGGGGCAACCCUGAUCCAGCCAUGCCGCGUGAGUGAUGAAGGCCUUAGGGUUGUAAAGCCCUUUUAUCCGGGACGAUAAUGACGGUACCGGAGGAAUAAGCCCCGGCUAACUUCGUGCCAGCCGCCGCCGUAA
rnacentral:rRNA from 1 species